UUUGGCAAAACCAGAACAAAAGCAAGCCUGCUGGGUCGCUUUCAGUUCCAACUCUGGAGGAACAGCAGCCUUCAGGCUCUAUUUCUAUCUCUGCCCCUCCUCACCAACUUGCCCCCCUCUCCUUUCCAGCCCCAAGCCCAGACGUCCAAUUAUCUGAGCGCUCCCUGACUCAGUGGCAGCCUGACUCAUUCGGAGGACACAGCAUCAGCAGUCGGAUAGAAAGAUCACUGGGGUUGGAGUCAGGAGGCCCGAGCUCUCGGCUUGCUUUGCCAGGAGCUUGCCAAGCUGCUGUGGAGUUCCAGGAUCGUUAACCCUGUCUGAAGAGCAUUAUC
rnacentral:lncRNA from 1 species